UACGUAGGGGGCGAGCGUUGAUCGGAAUUACUGGGCGUAAAGCGUGCGCAGGCGGCUUUGUAAGUCAGAUGUGAAAGCCCCGGGCUUAACCUGGGAAUGGCAUUUGGGACUGCAAGGCUGGAGUUUGGCAGAGGAGACUGGAAUUCCUGGUGUAGCAGUGAAAUGCGUAGAUAUCAGGAGGAAUACCGAUGGCGAAGGCAGGUCUCUGGGCUAUAACUGACGCUCAUGCACGAAAGCGUGGGGAGCAAACAGG
rnacentral:rRNA from 1 species